GGGGGCGUCUAUGGCAGGGAGAGCCAUGGGCUCACGCGGGGCGGGAGGAGCCGCUCAUUGGGAGCACGCGCUUGGCUGCUGGGGCCUCGCUCUCGCGCUACCGUUUAUCCCAAGUGCUGCCGGCCUGAGCUAAUUUACAUAUUGCUGCGGAACCCCGAACUCGCGUGCGCGGGCGGUGGUGCGGGGCUGAGCCUGCCCACCGCACCCCACCUGGGGCGCGUCAGUGCCCCGCUGGCGCAGCCUGACUCUCGCCGCACCGUGGGUCUGCGGGAAUGGAUCCUGAAGUGCUGAGGAAUAUGCUGAUGGGUCUCGCCAGCACAUCAUGUUUGGCAGUCGAGUUACUCCUUAAGCUACAAACUGACAGUGAGGAGUCCGAUAAUAUUGACUUGCGUAACACAUAUGUCAGAUAGACUGCACAACAUCACAGGCGGCUAUUGCAAUCUGGAAGCUGGCAACUCCAGACAGCUACCAAUCGGUCGCUAACCAGUUUGGAGUGGGAAAGUCGACUGUUGGAAUCUUGUUGAUGCAAGUUUUGCA